rnacentral:rRNA from 1 species
AUUGAACGCUGGCGGCAGGCCUAACACAUGCAAGUCGAACGGUAACAGGAAGAAGCUUGCUUCUUUGCUGACGAGUGGCGGACGGGUGAGUAAUGUCUGGAAAACUGCCUGAUGGAGGGGGAUAACUACUGGAAACGGUAGCUAAUACCGCAUAACGUCGCAAGACCAAAGAGGGGGACCUUCGGGCCUCUUGCCAUCGGAUGUGCCCAGAUGGGAUUAGCUAGUAGGUGGGGUAACGGCUCACCUAGGCGACGAUCCCUAGCUGGUCUGAGAGGAUGACCAGCCACACUGGAACUGAGACACGGUCCAGACUCCUACGGGAGGCAGCAGUGGGGAAUAUUGCACAAUGGGCGCAAGCCUGAUGCAGCCAUGCCGCGUGUAUGAAGAAGGCCUUCGGGUUGUAAAGUACUUUCAGCGGGGAGGAAGGGAGUAAAGUUAAUACCUUUGCUCAUUGACGUUACCCGCAGAAGAAGCACCGGCUAACUCCGUG